rnacentral:rRNA from 1 species
UACGUAGGGUGCAAGCGUUAAUCGGAAUUACUGGGCGUAAAGCGUGCGCAGGCGGUUUUGUAAGUCAGAUGUGAAAUCCCCGGGCUUAACCUGGGAACUGCGUUUGAAACUACAAGGCUAGAGUGUGGCAGAGGGAGGUGGAAUUCCACGUGUAGCAGUGAAAUGCGUAGAGAUGUGGAGGAACACCGAUGGCGAAGGCAGCCCCCUGGGUUAACACUGACGCUCAGGCACGAAAGCGUGGGGAUCAAACGGG